AUGUUUGUUCCGUUUUAUGUUGGUGAACUGGUGGAAGAGGGAAAAGUGAAGUAUAUUGGCCUAUCUCAAGCUAGCCCAGAUACGAUAAGGAGAGCACAUGAUGUUCCUCCCAUCAUAGUUGUACAAAUAGAGUGGUAUCUUUGGACUCCUGAGAUUGAGGACGAGAUAGUUCCUCUCUGCAGUACCCUCAGUAAUCUUGGCGUCUCCGAUUUUGGUGGAUUGGUUUGA